CUCAGUGUGUAAACAUAGAUCCUCUGACAGUGCAGAACGUGCACUUCUUAGAACUUCGCUGUCUGGAGGAGUCAUGCUCACUAGUAAGAGGCCGCUGAGGCUGGACGGAGGGCACUUGGGCGGCAAUUCCACAACUCCCAGGUCCUGACGUUAAAGGAGCUUUGGCCAAUGCUCACGCGGGAGCUCUCUGGCUGAGAAGACAAGCUCCGUGACCUCAGGACCCAAAGCGGUCUGCGACUACGGCAGGAGGAGGCUGUGGACACAUUCGGCCGAAUAGAAGCGUCUAACGCCAGCUACCUAGGUUAUGAUGAACGGUGCCCUGAUGCCCCUCCUGUCUCCGGGAUUAUCCGCAAAGUGGGUUUAAGACCGGAUGCCUGCGCGGGGGACUUUAUCCGCGGAAUGGAGACAGCAGGUUCUGUCCAGCCUGCCUGCUACAGCUGCGGCUCUCAGCACACCCGACGGUCCCCAACCUGCUCUGGCUCCGCCUUGUGCUUUCACGCGUGCCCUCCUUCGGCGCCCGUCCCGCCACCCAGCCACACACCUGCAGUCCCCGGCGGGCGCCCGGCGCCGAGCCCCUCUCCAGCGGCGACUCCCGGCAAUUCACGACUCAAGGUCCGGAACCUGCGGAGCAUCUGAGGAACAACCCCCGGCUCGGAGCCCGCCUGCCCUCGGGAGGUACAGGCCCUGCCGGUGUUUCUUGGUCGCCGAAGGACGCCAGCGCAGAGCCGGCCGACACCCCAGAAGCAUCCAAAGCCCGCCACGGGUUUAUACGUUGUUGGUGAAAAGCCGCAGCCCUACCUGAGGCUUUGAGAGUUGCCAACGCCAAUGACUUUUCUUUUCCUGAGUUCCUAAAUACCAAGAAAAAGCAACUUCCUCAAAUGGACAGAAACAGAAAGUACCCUUGGGUGGGGGCACAGAACUAGUUCCUCCCUGUAGUUAGAGAUGGGAAGGGGCUCGGCACCCUUCUCCAUCCACCAUCCCCACCACACACACCACUGUGUUACAUCCAGGGAAUUGUUAACCCUAGGCGGCAGCUGUGGAAGGGCCCUCCUAACACCCCACAACUGGAUGAGUGGACAUGAUCUCUGGUUUGUCUUCCCAGGCCCUACUUUCUCCACUGCAAAAAAAAAAAAAAAAAAAAAAAAAAAAAGAUGGCAUUUGGAGAAAGAGAAGGAGAUGGAAGGUGGAAGCAUGCCAGAGGUGGCCAGGGUAGGAAGGAAAGGGUAGAACUGUUCUAGAAUUGGCAAUCGAGUAGCAAGAAUGACUCAAUGUCUGGCAGCUUGAGAUGUUGGAUUUUGAAGGAUAAAGAAACUGCUGGAGAAAUUUGGGAAGCUUGACUUCUUCCUAUGGUUGGUGUUCCAAAAACUGAAGAUGGAAGAAAGCGGAAACAGAGUUGCUCACUCUGGGAAGCUGAGCAUCUGGCAAAGCCAACUCUGUCCCAUCCUGCAUCCGGACAUGGGCACUCUUCUCCACCAGCAGGGACAAGAAUAAAGCUGCCUUGAGGACACCUCAGAAACCAGCAGGUUCAAGAGUACAAAAAUGUGAACCUUUCAUUUAAGAAGAGAGCUUCUG
ensembl:lncRNA